GCAAAUAUGCAUAUGUGUAUAUAUAUAUAUUUCUAUAUUCUUCUUAUAUAUAUUGUAUAUAUUCUUUUAUAUCUUCUAGACUGAAUAAAAGAGUAGUUCCAGUUCUAUGAUGAAUGGAGCAAUAGAAGCUGUAUUCAUCUGGUUGUGUAACUGGUGCUCAGCAGCAGCUGUAGCAACUGUCAACAUCUGUCAAUCUCACCUUGACUUGAUGGUCAAAGAUCAUCCUCAGACCAGAAACCUGCCAGCAUGGAAGCCUGGCUGAUUCAGUCCUCAGAGAUCAUUCUCCUAGAGCACAUGGCAGGACAGAGAAUGGAUGAAACUUAUGUUGAAAGUCUAUUUUAUUUAGUAUAUUAUACCCAAAACAUUCCAUUCAACAUGGAAGCAAUAUAAACAUUAUUAUUUUGAUGCUUUCCAUUCUUUGGGACUCAGUCUUCAAAUCCAGUAUGUGUUUUACAUUCCCAGUGCUUCCCAAUUCAGACCAGCCACAUUUCCUGGGUUUAUUAGCCAUCUGUGGCCAGUAGCUAGCACACCGGAGGGUAUAGUUCUAACCUAUUGUCAGUAUCAUUGGAUUUAAAAACUAAAACAAAAAAAAAAUCAUUCAAUAAAAUUACAUCUUCAUAUAGAAUAAUUAUAUGAGGAUAUGCAUCAGAGUCUUCAAGAGGCCCAAACCCAUGUUCUGGGAUUUAGGGUGUUCUUGGGGAAGGUCAUCAAAAAAGAUGUGAUCACUGAUUGAAACGUGAGCGGGACCCAGGCACUCCCCAUCCUUGCAGUGUGGGUUUUACUUGACUCUCUCACUUCCAGAGGCUGCUGCAAGAUCAUAGUCUUGAGAUAGUGGUUGAGAACACCUGUGCGGUAUUCGUGACUAAACCCAGUUAGAGUCUCUUUACAAACUUUUAAGAUUUGGUAGGCUGGUGUGGGGAUCCAUUUGUCUUGUGGCUGCUCAAGACAAGCCUUGUAUGGAAGUUCCCUUUACUUGUUAAAACUGCC
rnacentral:lncRNA from 1 species